rnacentral:misc_RNA from 1 species
CUACACCAAGUUAUGCAAUUCAUUUUUACUUCUUCAUGGGUUUACGCCAUUUUUUUGCAAUUCAUUAUUUUGCUUUCUGGGUAUCUAAGAAAAGAAUUAAAUUUGAAACUCAGUCCUCUCUUUCUGGAAAUCAAAGGUUCUUGUCAAUAAAUUUUGUAAAAAAAAAAUCAACAUUAUUGGUCCUUAGCUACAUAAACUCGGGAUUUUUUUUUGGGAAUUGUACUUGUCAAAAAUUUGGAGAAGGAACUUCAGAACAUAAUUAAAAUUGCCCUAGUCUGUGUUAAUGCGUAAUGGGAAAUCUUCUUCUUCUUUGCUUGUCAAAAAAACAAGUGGAAAUAAUUAAAAGCUAAAUAUGUAUUGAAUAUUUGAUGGUUUAGUUCUGUAAAUAUAGGUGAAUCCAAAUGAUUGCUUUAGUAUUGGGCUAGUAGAGAAUAUAUUCCUUUCGCCUUGUAAAAUUUUAAAAUUUACAACUUCAAUAUGAGUUCUUUUAUUCUGCUGAGUGCUGACUUGCUCAGUUGUUCAUUGUAAUCUGCAAGAAUGUGCUUUAUGUCUUGUGUUCUAUAAAGUUUCUUCGGGCUUCUGAAUCUUUAAUUGAAACUUCUGUGGAGGAUUUCUUUUAGGGUUUUCUAGAGAUGCAUGUCUUGUUAAAAGACCUAUUGAAUUGAACAUUUCUGGCGUCUGUGAGCCCUUGAUAGCUUAUUU